CAGAGCGGGGAGGGACGGCAAGACGAUGACGCGUACUACUCGGCACUUGGAAGCUUGUAGUUUUCCGGAUCCAACAUGGCUGCUGCAGACGCGAAACUCUCUUUAGCUGUAGAUGGUGUUUUAAAUAGUUUAGAGCGAAAGUUGAAAGGCGAAAGUUGAAAGGCAAAAGGUCUCUCGGCGGCUCUGCUGUCCCCCGGCUCGUAGCGAGAUCACCGGCGUUACAGUAGCGGGGCUAUUAGCCGUACACACAACAACAUACAGUUUAAACGCUGUAUGUUGUUGUGGAGCAGAAAGUUUAGAAAAGACGUAUUGAUAAAUGUCUACGUGUAAUUCAGUUAAAAUACCCCGCACUGUGUCUCCAUGCUGCAGCUCCAGAUAUUUCAGCAUACUGGCUGUCUGUAACAUGUCGGCGAUGCAUCAGCAGGUGGCGUCUUUGAACGGCUCACACACGGUGCUCUCCCUCCGAGCCAACAGCAGAUUUGAGCCGUGACUCUUGUUGCCGAGCUCCAAAAACCUUCAGCGAGGAGAAAGCGAGAGCUGAAGUCGUGUCGUGUGAUCCAGCCACAACUUGAGUUCAGUUUAUUCUGCAGGUUUCAUCCACUGCUGAAACAUUUAGCUGAUUAAAGGGGAUCUGUUCUUCUUUUCUUUCAUAAAUAUAUCGUUACAAUGUCGGAUUUUCAAAUUAAAGGUGGCAAAAAGUUUCAAAUAAAGUUUAGUGGAGAGUAUGAACCUGAUAAAAAGCACAACAGGUCCUCUUUAAUGAAACAGGGCAAGAUAAAUGCACAUUCAUCAGUUUCUGCUUUGUAAAUGUGCCGUUUUUCAUCAUGAACAGAAAACCUUCAGACUGUUAGAUAAAACAUGUGAAGACAUUACCUCUGGGAAAUGAUGUCGGGCAUUUUUUCACUCAUUGCUAACAUUUUAUAGACUAAACAAUCCAUUUUAUAGAGACAGAAACAAGGAAACAAUAAUGGUAGUAAUCAUUAAUUGCUGUUUAAUUACAUGGACAUGGAUCUGUUCGAGGCAUUAACAGUUUGAAUCAUGUUAAACUCUUGCGAGUGACGAACUUUCUAAAGCUAGAGUCCAAAUAUAGUCUUGUUGUCAGACUGUUGUUGUUUGUAGAAACAGACACUAAAACUGCUGAAACCGGCCGCAUGAUGCUGUUUUUAGAGGCAGGUGCACAUGUGAACAUUGUUAUUAUUCGUCCUGAUCUUAUCGACCGCUAAGAACUUCUGAAUGUGGUUCAGUGGAAAAGUUGGAGGGUUAAAUACACACUACAGGUGAAAACAUGAAACUUCCCCACUUUGAUUAAGACAAUUCUCUUUUGUAUUAUAAGUUGCUUCAGCUCCAAAAAAAAAUCUAUUUCAAUAUUCAAAUGAGGCAUUGUCUUAAGUAUGUUGAGAAUAGAAAUCUGAACACAUUAUAUCAGAUGAAAGCAGGAGUGGACGCAGCGUUCAUGGAAUAAUCCCAAAGAUUGUUACCGUGCCAACAAAUUCCCAAAUUUGUCUUAUUUCUUCUAAUUUAGUUUUUUCUCGCCACAUUUUGACCUGAGAGCAUUUUGGGGGAUUUUGGAGGCUUCAUCCGCAAAGUUUGGAAGGAGUUUUCAGGCUCUUCUGUGCUUCAAUGUUUCAUUUUAUUAAUUUAUUGCAGGGAUUGUUGCUUUUUAAACAACUGCAUCAGAAUUCAAAUUAAAUUCUGUGGAAGUUUGUUUACAUUUUUUAGGAGGAGAAGAGUGUCGUUUGCUUUUUCUGUAUUCUCACAAAAUUCAAAAACCUCUGUGAACGAUCAGAGUCUAGCACGUUUUCCUCAAGUACGCAGAGAAAAGUAACAAUUUCAGAGGGAAUAUUUUGUCCUCAACGAUAAUUAUUUCCGAGCUGAUUUUUUAUUUCCGUUUUCCAUUGAGCGACUGGAUCCUGAAGUCUUCCGCUGUGUGCGAACAUGAUCAGCUGACCGCUUCUUUCAUAAGCCAUACUGUAUGUACAUAGAGUGUAAAUGUUGAUGUUCAUAGUUUUUCUAUAUGAUUUACUUGUAUGCAAUGUAAACUAUUGACAUUGAAUGUCAGUAAAGGGAAUGUACCACAAACACUCA